AGUGAACGCUGGCGGUAGGCCUAACACAUGCGAGUCGAACGGCAGCACAGUAAGAGCUUGCUCUUACGGGUGGCGAGUGGCGGACGGGUGAGGAAUACAUCGGAAUCUACUUUUUCGUGGGGGAUAACGUAGGGAAACUUACGCUAAUACCGCAUACGACCUACGGGUGAAAGCAGGGGAUCUUCGGACCUUGCGCGAUUGAAUGAGCCGAUGUCGGAUUAGCUAGUUGGCGGGGUAAAGGCCCACCAAGGCGACGAUCCGUAGCCGGUCUGAGAGGAUGAUCAGCCACACUGGAACUGAGACACGGUCCAGACUCCUACGGGAGGCAGCAGUGGGGAAUAUUGGACAAUGGGCGCAAGCCUGAUCCAGCCAUACCGCGUGGGUGAAGAAGGCCUUCGGGUUGUAAAGCCCUUUUGUUGGGAAAGAAAAGCAGCAGGUUAAUACCCCGCUGUUCUGACGGUACCCAAAGAAUAAGCACCGGCUAACUUCG
rnacentral:rRNA from 1 species